UAACAAUGAUUCCCCCAGUAACGGCGAGUGAACAGGGAAAAGCUCAAAGUUGGAAGCUCCUGGCCCUAGGCUAGGCGCAUUGUAAACUAAAGCUGUAAAGUAGUUCGGUUGGCCUGGUAAAAAAGUUCCCUGGAAUGGGGCGACAUGGAGGGUGAAAUCCCCGUCUUUGGCCAGAGUUCAGCCGUGCGUUUGCUUUGCUGCGAAGAGUCAGGUUGUUUGGGAAUGCAGCCUAAAAUGGGAGGUAGACUUCUCCUAAAGCUAAAUAUUGACGAAAGACCGAUAGCGAACAAGUACCGUGAGGGAAAGAUGAAAAGCACUUUGAAAAGAGGGUCAAAAAGUACGUGAAAUUGCUGAAAGGGAACCGUAUGAAAUCAGCCUGAUGUGUGGGUAAUCAGCCUGGGCUUUGGCCUGGGUGCACUUGCCCAUGUAUUAGCCUGCGACAGUUUGACCUGGGGGAAAAAAGAUGGGGGAAUGUGGCCUCGGCUUCGGUCGUGGUGUUAUAGCCCCUGUCAAAAUACCUUGGGUUGGACUGAGGACUGCAGCGAGCCGUAAGGCAUGGGUCUCGGGCGCUCUGUCUCGGCGAAAAGUGAAUCUCUGCUUCGGGUGGUGCGCUUUUCUUCAGGGCAGACUCGCCUGUUUCUUCUUUCUCUCGCUUAGGUCGUAGGCAUAAUGAUUUUAUAUGACCCGUCUUGAAACACGG
rnacentral:rRNA from 1 species